rnacentral:tRNA from 1 species
UGNAACUCCAGAUAAAAGUA